rnacentral:rRNA from 1 species
AGAGUUUGAUCCUGGCUCAGAUUGAACGCUGGCGGCAUGCUUUACACAUGCAAGUCGAACGGCAGCGGGGGCUUCGGCCUGCCGGCGAGUGGCGAACGGGUGAGUAAUGCAUCGGAACGUGCCCAGUCAUGGGGGAUAACUACGCGAAAGCGUAGCUAAUACCGCAUACGCCCUGAGGGGGAAAGCGGGGGAUCGCAAGACCUCGCGUGAUUGGAGCGGCCGAUGUCGGAUUAGCUAGUUGGUGGGGUAAAGGCCUACCAAGGCGACGAUCCGUAGCGGGUCUGAGAGGAUGAUCCGCCACACUGGGACUGAGACACGGCCCAGACUCCUACGGGAGGCAGCAGUAGGGAAUUUUGGACAAUGGGGGCAACCCUGAUCCAGCCAUGCCGCGUGAGUGAAGAAGGCCUUCGGGUUGUAAAGCUCUUUCAGACGGAAAGAAAUCGGGCGGGUG